UUUUUUAAUUCAAAUCACAGUGCAUUAAUUGUUGUCAUUGGUUCAGAUUUAACACAAUAAUCCACAGUGAAACUGCUCUCAUACUACUCAUAUGAUUAAAAUCAGUAGCUCACAUCUUACGCAAUCAAGUAGCACAUGUAAAAACAAUUCCUUGGACAUUUGUUUCCUCAGCAACGUGUUUGGAGACUUCUUGAAGAGAAAUCUGUUUCGCAACUCCCAGGUUUGUGCCUGCAUCAUCAUCUUAAUGUUCAUCAUCUAGGAGAACUAACUGUCAACAGGAAUAAUUAGUGACAUCCUAAGAGACUAUAUAAGAGUGAUAAUUACAGAAAACCUUGAGAUUAACAUUGCUGAGGAUGUGUGCUCUGUUCUUCCAGCACAUUGAAAUUUUAUUUAGCGAGGGAUUAUUUUUCCUCUCUCCCUCUGAUAUUUUGACAUGGUAGAAAAAUAGAUAACAAAAGGAAAUAAAGUGUAGAGCUAUAAAACAGAAAUGAAUAAUUCUUGUCUAUCUUGGGAAAUGAAGAAGGAAUUAUAUGCAUUAUUUUUUUAUACAUCUAGUUUUUUGGCAUAGUGAAACCUGAAAAAUGAAGUCCUCUCUCUGGACAGUUUAGCUACUUGCUAGGUAGCUUGGCAUCAUUGAAAUGGUCUCUCUUAAUCCCACAGUGACUAUAAACCAUAAUAAAUAUGUUUUUGCUAUUGCAAGCAACAUAAAUACUCUUUCCUACUUUAUACGUUCUUAGUAUCAGAAAGCAGCUUGAAUCAAACACAGCUUCCAGAGUCUCCAGGGCUGAAAAAAUAUCUUUUUGGUUAUUGAGUGAAGAAAAUAAUAAAGGAUAAUGCACAACGUAGCAAGAACUUUGAUUCUCAGUAGAGACUAUGGAUACCUGUAUUUUUAUUUUAAAGUUAAGAUGAACCACAGCAAUUCAUUGCAAGUGUGAUGUUCUAGUAAUAAAUUGAGAGACUGAAGUAUUUUCUGUUGUAUACCAAAGGACAUUAGCAAACUAUUGUGGUUACAAGACCAAAUUUUCAGGUUUCAGGAAAUACUAAAAUUAAUACUGCCUACCCUUGAUGUAAUAACAAUGGCAAAUGGAACAGGAAUCACACAUUUUGCCAUCUAUAUAAUGACAAGGCUAUAGAGACACUCAGAAGUCCUGAACCCUUAUCUUAUUUCUGGGACUGGGUGUACUCUAAUGGUUACUGCGCUUCUAUUCUGUACCAAUGUUUUAUCUCUCUUUCCUCUUCCCUGCCUUCUCCAACAUUUACCAGGAUGUACCAGGUGUGCUUUCUCCCCACGUUUCCCACCACACGUUGAAACACAAGGAACAUGAGUGUAUUUUGGGAGGCAUCACCAUUAUCAGGCCUGUGGUCUCUGUACAGUUGUGCCCUGUACCUAUUCAAGUGCUCCUUUAAACAUGACUGUGUUCCCAGGGUGGAACUGUCAGCUUGCCUACUGUUGCUCUGAAUGAAUUAGCACUGAUUAGUUGGACAGCUGGCCAGGCAUCAACAGCUUUUCUGAAGCUACAGCUCAUGCCUUUCACACAGCAGUGCUGAUAAAGAAAGCUUUCCAACAAACCCCUUUUUUUCUUCCACACUGUUCUUUUUAUGCUCUUUCUGUCUGUUGGUUUUUGCUUUGUUUAGUUUUUGUGGGUUAAUUUUGGUUUUGUUUUAUUUUCUCUAUAAACCAGGAGGAAAACUCAUCCACACCACCACCUCACCAAUACCCAGUCAUAGGCUAUGGUCAUCAGCAACAGGUAAGCAGCUGCACCUGCUGGAAAUAUCUCAUUAGAGUGGUAAUGCCACAUUGUCUGUUGCUGUUAUUCACUAAAGAAUCUAGAAACCAUCGCUAAUUGCACACGAUUUGCUCUCUUUAAGAACCCCCCUCCAGUAAAUAUGAUGUCAAAAAGGAGCACUGCAAGGUAGAAGGGCUUUACAAAUCUGAAGGCAGCUUAUCCUGUUUGGGAACCCUAACAGAAACAUUGUACCUCUCUCAGUAGCCUUGUCCCAUUUUUUAUCUCCCCAAGACUGGACUAGGGAGGAUGGUGGGCAGGGAGGCCGUGCUCCUAUGGAGCUGGGCUGAGGUCUUCAUCCCAUCUGCAUCAUGCCCAGGCUGCAGGCAAUCUUCAUGGGGAUUUACCAACCUUGGCUCCAUCCAUGAGAGGCCCAAUUCUCCCAACAGACCCACAUAGCAAGCAUCUCACAGGAACCCACAAACAUAGUAACAGCACAUGAUACUAUCCCUCUCAUCAGAGUCCUACCAUCUGGCAUUGUUAUCUUAUGCUUGGAUUGGACAAAAUGUCCAAAAAAUCUAGUGUCAUUACUGCUUGCUGUCCAUCCUCACUGAUAAUUUUUAUUUGAAGUAAUUAAUGAUUAACGGAGGUGCUC
ensembl:lncRNA